AUAAUGAUACUUCAUAGUAAAUGCCGGCUUGUCUUGAAUAGAGGCGGUAGUUCAAAUUGGACUAAUGU
rfam:Enterococcus columbae DSM 7374 = ATCC 51263 genomic scaffold acyDG-supercont2.3, whole genome shotgun sequence.